GCCUGUGGCCAGAUCUGCCAUUUUACCCAGCCCUGUUCUAGACUCUGGAGGCCUUUGGCUUUGGGCCCCUCUUCACCUCUACCAUCUGACUCCUGUACUGUGACCUCUCCAGCCUUCUGAAGAUAAACGCAGUGCUAUGUAGCCUAUUCUCAGCAUCCAGGGGCAUCCAGCAGGGCUGCCCCACUUUCAGGAAUGUUAUAUGCUCUAGCCUUUAAGCCAUAGAUAUUAAUUCAUAGGGUCUCAUGAGGUAAGGGUCUUUUUCAGAGCUGGAAAUAGAUUCACAAUCAACUUCCUUGGAGAAUACAAAGAGCUGGUUUGAAUAUAUAUUGUGAAGCAACUGAUCUACUUGGACUAUAUUGUAUAUUGCAAAGUAAAGCUACUGUCCAGGACAAAGUGGUAGCUCACACCUGCGUACAUUAACAGCAGAUGAAUAAUUAAACUGGGAAAGUUUCAUAUGAGAAGUAAAAUGACUCAAUGUUCUAUUUGGAGGAGCGGGAAGGAAGCUCCAUAAAAAUGAACAUCAAAUUGGGGAACUCCUGGCUAUCAAAAUGUAUGAUCUGUCAGCCAAGAUUCAGAAGAGAGUUGAAGGGGUAGCCUAAAGGAACCAGUGAAAGGAAACAGAAGUUGAUGGUUUCAGCAAUCACACAUCUUAUCAUGAUGAAAUUAUUCUAUUUGCUCUUGGGCAGAUACACAACCUAUAUAAAGAACAGCAUUCUUUUGAGGUACCAUGGACCAGAAGUACCUAUAGAAGAAGCAGUCUUGGGAUCCCAUGCUGGAAGAGAGACAUCUAUUUUUUGGAAUCUGGUUCAACUGUUCUGGGGAAGAGCUAUUCUGCUAUCCACAGCUGAUUUCAUCUCAACAUCGUAGAAAUCAUGAAUCCAUUGUUGCUGGAAUCAAUCAGGAACUGGGACCCCAUUGUACCAGAUACUAUAUACACAUAAAAUGAAAAAGUCCCUGUCAUAUCAGACAAGAGGCAACAGGUGGAUACAACAACUGGGUUAGCAACCAGUAACAGUGGGACCAUUCUGAUUAAUGUAAUGAAAAGUGCAGUGCUGGUUACAGCUUCUGCGGCUUCAGGAAUGCACAAAGCCUGCCCUGUGAGACUAACUGAAAACAGACGGCUACAUAAUGAAUCCAGAGGGGUUUAUGGAGCAAAGGGGUUUAUGGAGUAAUGAGGAAAUCUCAUACUAGAUGGAAGCCUGGUCAAAAAUAGUAUCAAGGACCUUGUGAAGCAGCACUUUUACUUAUGCAUUUUGUAUACCUAUAGCAGGUGGGUCUGACCAAGGAACAUCCAGGUUGGGAUUUCAGCUUUGAGGUUCAAAAAGGGAGGGUGGUGGUUCCAGCUCAAUAUGAACAAGACAUAGAAUCAUAGAAUCAUAGAAGUAGGGUCGGAAGGGACCUUGUAGAUCUUCAAGUCUGACCCCCUGCCUGGGCAGGAGGAAAACUGGGCUCAAUUGACCCCAGUCAGGUAGGCAUCAAGCCGCCUCUUAAAGACCCCCAGGGUAGGAGCCAGCACCACUUCCCUUGGAAGUUGGUUCCAGAUCCUAGCCGCCCUUACUGUGAAGUAGUUUUUACAGAUGUCUAAUCUAAACCUACUCUCCAACAACUUGUGGCCGUUAUUCCUUGUUAUCCCGGGGGGCGCUAGGGGAAACAAGGUCUCCCCCAAACCCUUCUGGUCCCCCCUAGUGAGUUUAUAGACAGUCACCAGGUCCCCCCUCAGCCUUCUCUUGUGAAGGCUGAACAGGUUCAGGUCCCAUAGCCUCUCAUUGUAGGGUCUGCCCUGCUGUCCCCGGAUCAUGCGGGUGGCCCUCCUCUGGACCCUCUCAAUGUUGUCCACAUCCCUCUUGAAGUGGGGUGCCCAGAACUGGACACAGUACUCCAGCUGUGGCCUGACCAGUGUCACGUAGAGGGGGAGGAUCACCUCCUUGGACCUACUUGAGAUGCACCUAUGGAUGCACGAUAGGGUCCGGUUAGCCCUGCUGACCGUGACCUCGCAUUGUUGGCCCAUGAUCAUCUUGGAGUCAAUGAUGACUCCAAGAUCCCUUUCUGCCUCUGUGCUCUCAAGAAGGGAGUUUCCCAUCUGAUAAGUGUGCUGCUGGUUGCUACUGCCCAAGUGCAGCACCCUGCACUCGUCCGUAUUGAAACGCAUCCUGGUUUUGUUAGCCCACCCCUGCAACCUAUCUAGGUCUUUCUGCAGUCUUUCCCUCCCUACUAGCGUGCCCACUUCACCCCAAAUUUUGGUAUCAUCAGCAAAUUUGAACAGGUUGCUUUUCACCCUGUCGUCCAAAUCGCUGAUAAAGAAACUGAACGGUGCGGGCCCAAGGACCGAGCCCUGGGGGACUCCGCUGCCCACUUCCCCCCAGGUCGAAUAUGACCCGUCCACCACCACCCUCUGAGUAUGACCCUUCAGACAAUUUGCAAUCCAUCUGACUGUGUAGGCAUCGAUGUCACAGUCGCCUAGUUUUUUAAUGAGGAUGGGGUGGUCGACAGUGUCAAAGGCCUUGCUGAAGUCCAGAAAGACUACAUCCACCGCGACACCUGCAUCCAAUGCUUUUGUGACCUGAUCGUAAAAGGCAAUCAGGUUGGUCUGACAUACCCUGCCCCUAAUGAAACCAUAUUGGUUGCCUUUGAGCAUAAUCCCCAAUGCCGGCCCAUCACAGAUGUGCUCCUUGAUGAUCUUCUCAAAUAGGUAGCAACAAGUAGUGACAAAAAAAUUAAAUGCUUUCCUCAAGAGAAGCCUAUUCAUCUCUCUGUGGUUCAGUUCUCCUUAUCUAUCUAUCUAUCUAUCUAUCUAUCUAUCUAUCUAUCUAUCUAUCUAUCUAUCUAUCUAUCUAUCUAUCUAUCUAUCGUUUUCCUGUAACACCAGUUUUUUCUGUCAUCCUGAGCAUGUCCACAUGUUCAUUAAAGCGCCUUAGGUACUGCACAUUUAGUUUAGUACUAGCUUAAUAAAGUACUAACUAAAUGUGCAGUAACUAGAGUUACUGUGCACUAGCACCAGUGCACAAUUUUUUUUGUGACACUUACUGCGCAUUAGCCUAAUAACACUGCACUGCACAGUAGGCUAUUAACUGCCAUGCUAUUGUGCAGUGUUAUUAGGCUAAUGUGCAGUAAGUGUCUUAUGUAGACACACCCCCAUCUCUUGUCACAAUGGUAUAGCACCUAGCACAAUGAAAUUCUAUUAGAUGUUAUUGUAAUACAGUUAUAAAGGAGAAGAGGUGGCUUGAAAGGUACAAAAAGUUUGAGGCAGGGUAGUAACUGUGACACAACAGUAAUAUAUAAACAGUUCAAUUAGAAAGUUCAUGAUUGAUUUUAAUAUUGUUACAAAACUGUCUCCUAAAAACUGAAGAAUGAUUUGACCUGUCAUUAGAUGUUGUGGGGAAAAAACACAAUAAAUAAAUUAAAGUUUCUGUACCGAAAUCUUUAUUUUUAUCUCAGUAAACUCACAAUGUUCUCCAACAUGGGGACAAUUCUGGACUAUUGAAAUAUCCCUUGACACAGAAAUGGUUUUUAACAUUCCUCAUCAUAACUGUAAUCUGCCACUGGUGCUAAAAGUCUUGGAGAAUAAAAUUAGGGCUGUGGUUCACGUCUUGAUGUGAACAUGAAACAUUCAGAGCUUCUCCCAGCUCCUGAAGAAGACAUGGAGCCUACUUUUCCCUCCUUGUAAAGUCAAUGAAAUUAUAGUAGUGGAAAUAAGAGGAGUCUUGGACAUAGGCUCAACAGGGUCUGACCAACUAAAGAGAAAGUUCAUACAAGGGUCAGUGAAAGAAAAAUGAAACCUCUGGGCUCCCAGGUUUAUUUUGAACACGAAUCAUGAGAAAACCAAACAACAUAUAAAAUCCCAGGGGUGUUGUGGCCUCUGGUCACAGUCCUGUCACACAGCUUAAAUCCAGAAAUGUAGAAAACAGCUGAAAUCAGAAAUCCAGCAGUUCUGCCCCUUAAGUGCUCUCUUGUCCUGGACUCAGACAGCAGCUCUUGAAACUAGCUCAAGUUUCUUCUAAGACUAACAAAGCUUAGCUGCCUCAUAGUCUUUCCCAACUGAAAGUGCCUCCUUGAAUUAUCUCAGCCCCAUACAUGCUACUUCUUCAGUCAAAUCUUUAUCAGGUCACCCUGGAGUGGUGCCAAAGAAUGCAAUGCUCUAUCACAAAAGCUGAGUCUUGUCUAGGAUAAGGAAAAGACAGCCCGUGGGUUAUCCCUUGAAAUUUGAAAAGGGUGGCUAUCCAACCCAUCCCCUCUAUCUGUCUUAUACAUCUAAGCAAGAGAUAGCCAACAAGCUUUCCUCUGCCUCAGCACAUGCAAUAUGUCUAAUAUCUUCAGGUUUUGAUUCAUAGGUGGGCAAGGAAUAGUCCUCAUUUUUACCACUAACAUAUAUUCCGAUGUCUCCAGACUAAUAGGGACAGCAAACCAUUUAGUGCAGAUUUUAUUUAAUCAAUUGGGAGUCUAAAUGGACUUAGGCACCUAACAGCAAUUCUAUUCCACCCCGCUUGACCGCCUGAAAAUCCUUUAAUGCAGGGCUGUGCAACUUCUAAGUGGCUAGUGGCCAAAGCUACAGUCCCCUCUGAACCACAUGCCAUGUGGGUGUCCCCCCUCAGCACUGUGUGGGAACCCUCCCACACCUGCACUGUGCACCCUCCCCCCAGAUACACUGCAUGUCUUCACUGCCCAGGCUCACCCUCAGCUCCCCAUGCUGCACUACCCUGCUCCCUAGGGUAGGGGCAGGAAGUGGAAGCCAGUGGAGGGAGGAGGAGCCCAGAGACUCUGGCUGCUGUUGCCAGCUGGAUAACCAUACUUUAAUACAUCUACUUUGUAACACACAAUCAUCUUGUCCUUAAGAAUGAGUAAGAAAAAUUGAAGUGAGGAAGAAAAAGACUCACCCACCUUUUCUAUUAACCACUUUGCAAGUACUCAGAUUGAGUGGAACAGAAUUGCAUUUAGCUACCUAAAUCUACUUAUGUGCCUAAUAGGUGGAAUAGACUAUAGUCCUCAUUGUCUCUCAUCCAGUUCCUUGAAAGAGGACAGUAAUUAGUAAUGGUAAUAUUAAUAACAGGAAACUCAUAAGAUUCUUUUUAAUGAGCAAACACAUCUUAAAGGAGCACUUAAAAUAUAGAGUCAUAGGAGACUCCAUCCUGAGAGGUACGGAAGGACCCAUCUGUCGCCAGGACCCCUCGGCACGAGAGGUAUGCUGCCUCCCUGGAGCAAAGAUUCGGGAUGUGACGGAGGUAAUCCAGGCCAGGAUCAAGCCCACCGAUUAUUACCCCAUGGUCCUAGUCCAUGUGGGUACUAAUGAUGCGGCCAGGAGAACCCCCGAUCACUUGAUGGCAGACUACUGUGCUCUGGGCGGCGUGCUGAAGGAGUUCGGUGCCCAGGUGGUUUUCUCUUCCAUCCUACCAGUGACCGGACGAGGAAGAUGGCAGGAGAACUGCAUCAGAGAGACCAACUGGCGGCUUCGGCAGUGGUGUCUCGAGGCAGGCUUCGGC